UCUUUCUUGAUUUAUUUAUCUAAUUAUUUUAGUUCCAAUAUGAUAAUCAUUUACCGUUCAUCUAAUUAAUUCAUCUAAUUAUCUUGAUGAUUGUGCAUACCAAUGCAUAUCAUCUUCUGUAUUUGGUAAUUUAAUUCUAAAUUAUAUUAGCUGACAAAUGAGCUCUUCAGGGUGUGAAAGCUGGCCUUUUUUAUCAUCUUUGCCAUUUUUAAUUUUUUAAGCUUUUGCUAUUCAUUGCUUAGACUACAUCUAAAUUCUGAUGGAACAGUAUACACACUGUUCCCUUCUCCGUGUCUCUUCUCCUUCCCUUCAUUUGACUCAUAAUUAGGUGACAAAAUAUUUUUAAUGCCUAUCAAUGCACACUGCUUGCUUCUUUGCUCAUCUCAAUCCUGGAUCUAAUCUCUAAUCUAAAAAUAAAGAAAACAGAUUAUAAAUAACGAAAAUGUUGAAUUAUGAGAGCCAUGGAAUUUGAUAAAAAUUGCUUAGGUAAG
rnacentral:misc_RNA from 1 species